AAACUGCCAUGAUGUUGUUGUUUGCAUAAGUUAAUUGCUGCGCGAUCACAGCCCCUCUUCUCUCACUUCCAGCGGCCCCUACUCACAGACCCGGUAACCUAAUAAUGAAGCAACAGCUGUGAUGAA